UACGUAGGGUGCGAGCGUUGUCCGGAUUUAUUGGGCGUAAAGAGCUUGUAGGCGGCUCGUCGCGUCGGGUGUGAAAACUUGCGGCUUAACCGCAAGCCUGCGCCCGAUACGGGCGGGCUAGAGUUCGGCAGGGGAGACUGGAAUUCCUGGUGUAGCGGUGGAAUGCGCAGAUAUCAGGAGGAACACCGGUGGCGAAGGCGGGUCUCUGGGCCGAUACUGACGCUGAGAAGCGAAAGCGUGGGGAGCGAACAGG
rnacentral:rRNA from 1 species